GGAAGGCCUAGCUCAGCUCACCUCUGGAAAGGUCUCCAAGCUGUGUGAUCUGGGGAAUCGUGGAGGGGUUUUGAGCUCAGGUGUCUUCUGCCAGCUGGACUCUGAGACCCUGGCCUGCUGGGGCGAGGAUGAGGCUCUGAUGUGGUCUGGUCAACUCUGGGUUGGCCAUCUGCACCACAGGGCUCUAACAAGGGCCUGCUAUAGGCCAUGAGAACCACUGUGUCAAGGAGCCCAUCUCCAUUUUAGAAAGACAGAGAUGCGUUCUGGGCCGUUGCCCGGGAAAGAAUGUCUACCAGGACAGUUCUGAGAAGGCUCAGCAUCAUAUCUAAACACAGGAAAGGAAUUCCCUGUUGGAAAAUUCAGGAUGACAACUGUGGGUAGCAAGCCAAGGCAAAGGGCAGAACGUGGAGCAGCAUUUGAGGCUCCAGCCAAUUCCAGCCUGUCUGCAGGCACUGCCUGCCUCCACGGCUGUCAGGUGUCGCCCCCAGGAGCUACGUAGGGCGAAGCUAGGCAGGCUUUCAGUGCCAGCUGUGGUUUCCCCAACAGCUCACAGGCCAGAGGCCCCGCCCAGGCCACCUCCUCCAGUCCCCCUGCCGCGGGGUGGUCUUCGGUGGUCUCACUCUCCCUCCCACUGCAUUUCCAUCUCUGCUGUAAUAUACCACCUCAGCCCUUCCUUUUUGAUUCCCAAGAGCAAAUUUUGGAAAUAAAGCAACCUGAAAACAUGCUGUUGCUCAUUUUAUGCCUCCUAUAUCCGUUCUCUCCCAAAUGACUAAUAGAAAGCUCCAGUCACCAAGAUCAACUUCUCUAAAUCCUACCUCCUUCCGCUUGUAAACACCAAGUGCCCCUAUGUGAUACCAUGGCACCAAGUGCCAUGACAGAAACCUCUGCAGGGCUCUGGAAGUCAAAGAACUGUUAAU
rnacentral:lncRNA from 1 species